CUCUUAUUGACGAGUCCCAAACAGGACGAAACGCGCGUCCUGGAU
rfam:Schistosoma curassoni strain Dakar, Senegal genome assembly, scaffold: SCTD_scaffold0000280